GUGAAUGAUGUUAUAAAUAUCCAAGUGGCCCUGGGCAGGAAAAAGGUUCCCCACCCCUGGUCUACAGCUACCCACAAACCAGACAUGCAGGAAGGCCUCGCUGCUUAAUGGCAAACCUGACUUGCCAGAGCACUUCCAAAAUGAACACUAAAGCUGUCAGUGAGGGAGGGACCCAAAGCCUACUAGUCAUGACAGGUACCUAUCAUGACAACUAGUCACAAUUUCCUGAGCAUCCAGGAAGGGCCAGGCUCUGUACUUCUUAUAUGCUUAUGAGACUAUUUAGUCCUGACAAAACUCAGCAAAGAGGACUUUAUUAAUCCAAUUUUGCAGAUAAAAAAAAUCUGACGCCCCAAAUGGCUUUGCCCAAGGUCUCAGAACGAGUUAAGUGGCAGAGUGCAGCUUGAAAAUUCUCUUGCUCCAAACCAUCCCCCCUUUCUACUAUAUCCAUUCUUUGAUUUGAGAAAAUCAAAAAGGGAAGUUUUAUUAUUAAAAGCUAAAGGUAUAUCCUAUAGGCCAAAGGUUUAUAAAUGUCUAUUUACCAAACUUAACUAUGUCUAUGAGUAGUUGUGAGAGGAGUGUUUAUAAAUGCAAGGAAUCUCGUCUCGUGCCCCCGGACUGCAGUCCUGGGGGAGCACAGCCACGCCUGCCAGUGUGCUCAGCACCGGAGCGGGGACCAGCUGGAAGGCUCCACUCGAGGUGCUUUCCUGUUACAUAAUUUCCAACAUUAAAAGUACAGCUGUGUUGGUUUUUAAAAAUAUUUAUUGUGAAAUACUGCAAACAUACAGAAACAAAACACAAACAACACACAAGUAAUUAUUACCCAUCUUAAAGAGAGGUUAAAUAAUCUGCCAUAUUUGUUUUAGCUCAUUUGUCUUUUUUUUUAAAAGUGAAACUAAAAAAAGACUGAAGCCAGAUCCCCGGUCCCUCCCUCCACUAAAAUUAAAACCACCCUGAAGUUGCUUGCUAUGCUGGUAUGAAUAUUCAUGCAAGUGACAUAUUACUUCCUGUAUAUUUCAACUUUUAAUAAAGGAUUUCACACUGAUCUGUACUAUUUUACAAGGCUUGCUUGUUUUACUCCAAUUAUACACGAGAUUAAUUCACGUAAUUCUUUCACUCAUUUUACUACUGUAUACUUUUUCAUUACACAAAUGUCAUGGUGUUGUUUUUUUAUUCAUUCUCCCGUAAAUGGACACUUAUAUUGCUUCCAAUGUUUCACUAAAACAAAAACACCUGAAUGAACAUUCUUGUAUCACUUCCUGGGCACUUGUGCAAAAAUUUCACUAGAGGAUGUAAGAGAAAUAGUAUCACUGGACUUCUACUUAAUUAGCCGUCUUCCAAUUGUCCUUCCAUGUGGUUAUGCCCAUUUAAUCACCCCAGCGGGGAGCAGCUCCUGAUGUUUCAUAUCUCACCCAUACUUAGCUCUGUUGAACUUUUUAAUUUUUACCAAUCUGAUGAAUAUGAUAUGGAUCUCAGUGUUUUAAUUUGCAUUUCCCUUAUUUUCAGUAAGUCUGAGUGCAUAUUCCUAUGUUAAUUAGCCAUUAAGGUCUUUUUUUUUUCCGUGAAUUCCUUGGAGUUCAGAUCCUUUGCCCAUUAGUUUUUUUUUUUCAGUUGCAUUAUCUUUUUUCUUACUGAUUCAGAGGAAUUUUAAAAAUAAAUCCAGGGCAUUAAUCCUGAUUCAGGACAUUAUUCCUUUAUAGUUUCACAUAUUGCAAAUAUCUUCUCCCAGUUGGAGGCUUAUCAUUUAUUGAUUUUUUUAAAUGAUGCAAUAUUUGUCCAUACCAAAAAUGUGUAAUUAUUGAGUUAUAAAGCAUAAUAAUGAAAACAAAUACUCACGAGUUCAACUGAAAAACCAAAAUAUUACCAAUAACAUUAAAACUAAAAGUGUACUCAUCCCAUUUCACCCCAUCCUCGGGCUCUCCUAAACUCUAUAUGCUCAAUUUUAUGUUUAUCAUUCCUCUGCUUUUAAAAAGAAAUUUAAUUUUUUGCCAUCUGUCUCUCUAAAUCAUUUUUAGUUUUGUUUUUGAGCUUUGUAAAAACAGCAUCAUUCUACAUGCAGCCUUCUGCUAUUUGAUUUGUCCUCUGAAUGUUUUGUUUCUAAAACUGAUCCGUGAUAUCACAUGUAGCUGUAAUUCAGUUAUUUUCACUGCUAUAAAAUAUUCUAUUCCAGAAUGUAACCAGUUUCCUGUAGAUGGACAGAACCACUGAGUAAUUUCCAUGGUAUGGGGUUUGUUUGUUUUUUUGCUAUUAUGAAAAUGCAAUAAACAUUCUUUGGCGUGUCUCCUGGUUUACAGGUACAAGCAUUUCUCCAAGGCACAUGACUAGGGGUGGAAUUGCUGGGUUGCAGGAUAGGCACGUGAAUUGCAAGACAAUUCCAAAGUAGUUGGGCCACAUGACUUAUCUUCUCCUUUAUGUCUUUCAACAUACAGAAAGUUGUGUGUGUUUUUU